rnacentral:rRNA from 1 species
UACGUAGGUGGCAAGCGUUGUCCGGAAUUAUUGGGCGUAAAGAGUGCGUAGGCGGUCUAUUAAGUCUAGUUUGAAAGCCCAUGGCUUAACCAUGGAGGGUGACUGGAAACUGAUAGACUUGAGCAUAGGAGAGGAAAGUGGAAUUCCACGUGUAGCGGUGAAAUGCGUAGAUAUGUGGAGGAACACCGGUGGCGAAGGCGGCUUUCUGGCCUAUGGCUGACGCUCAUGCACGAAAGCGUGGGUAGCAAACAGGAUUAGAUACCCUGGUAGUCCACGCCGUAAACGAUGAGUACUAAGUGUUGGGGGAAACCUCAGUGCUGAAGUUAACGCAUUAAGUACUCCGCCUGGGAAGUACGGUCGCAAGACUGAA